rnacentral:lncRNA from 1 species
UUUUUCGCUGAGUAGUGUUAUAUAUGUAGUUUUCGUAUAGAAAUUUGUGGGUAUAUACGUUUUCGCCCCCCGAUUCUAUAGAAAUUUUUGGGUAUAUACGUUUUUGCCCCCCGGCCGAAAAAUUCAAGCUUCGCCACUGCGCCUUCCAUAUUCCAGAAAGUUCCAUCCCUCAAUCGACCUUGUUGACUGAUGGUCUAAAUAAGAAUGAGCAUCUGAUCCGCCAGCAGACGAGCUUGGCUAAGGCGUGCCUGAAGUAGUCUUGGAAUGCUUUGAUGAUUGGCCAUUUGGAGAAUAUAUAAGCACAUCCAAUGGCAAAUGGACAACCGUAUGUUGCUCUAAACUCAUCAUGGGCGGCCGACAUGGCGUAUGUGUCUCUUGAACUACUCGUUCUGUUUCGAUUGUUUAUAUGGCGGUUCACAACAUUGUUGAAGUAGUUGCAUUUCGUCCUCAUUGAUGACCACUUGCCUGAGAACGAAUCGUUUGUACGGUACGGUUCGUGCUUCAUAUCAUCAAUAUUUUUUCGCGAAUCCGCCCAUGCACGAUAUACACAACGGGUAUUGAGCUAGGUAUGAGACACAAUUUUAUAAUCAGGUAUGUGUAUUUUACUAUUUUGUCAUUAAUAGUGGUUCUGAUGAUGGUCAAAUGUACGAAAAUACAGUGAAUAAAUAUUAAACGUGUCAAAGUAUACCAAUCUAAAUUGAAACGGGUAAACCGUGUUAAGUUAUAGUGAUUAAUGCUAAUCGGGUAAAAAAUUAGACAACUAAAAUGAAACAUGAAACGCUUAUUGCCAAGUAUGUGUUAUAUUGAGUUCGAAGUUUACUUUAGAAUUGAUAAUAUGAGUCAUGAUAACAAUUACAAGAAAAUUAGGUAACAGAAACAGAACCACACAAAACAAUAUCAUCAAAAUUAUGCCAGGACGUUGAUGUGCUACAAUUUAAGAUCAGCCCUACAAUUGUUGUAUGGUGACUGCAAUUUGUGAACACAAACAAAAUAUUGCGGUAGUUUUAAUGGUUCGUUAUUGCUAUUCCUACAUGUUGAUUGGAUCAAUAGCCGAAUUGGAAGAAACAUAA